GCAGCUAUGAGAAGGCGUUCUGAAAGUGCAGCGACCGCAUCUUGCUGGCUCAUGAAUUAGGAAAGAAAGGUUUUCAGGGAGGCGAUAGACAAGUUCCUUCAGCUCAACACGAAGUCACUGGCCUGGGCUGGCACCCACGGAUGGCCAAGGCACCCCCAGCAGCCUCCAGAAUGGGUCCCUCACGCAGGAUUUUGGAUACUCCCCCUACCAGAGUCACAUAGAAAACUGCCUGCAAGAUCAAGAACAGAGACCCAGCUUUCCAAUUCCUAGUCUGUUGCCAACACCAUCCCUAUGCCCUUGGACAGCUCAUUUUCAAUUUAAGCCCAGUAAUUGCCUCCUUACUAGGACUGCCAGCCUUCACCUGCAAAAUAUUCUAGAAGAGAUCUGCAAAUAAAAGUCCCAACCUGGCAUUAUGUUCAACCCACCCAGAGAUGGCCCACAGGCAUCCAGGAACCAGUGGUUAUGGAGCGCCAUCAGCUAUAACAACUAGCUUUGUUCUUACUGCUCCAAACCUUUUGUUGAAGAGAUGGUACUCACAUCCG